UUCACACUUUACCAGACUGUCAUGCUUCGUGAUGUCUCAGGUAGAAGUACUGCAGAAACUGAGAUGUCUUGAGACAUAUUCAGGAAAUGUGUAGACAGAUCCAUGUGUAGACAGACUUGCAACAGUGAAUGUGAUAUUGUCAAUAUAAAACUUCAUUUAAUCUCAUAGAUAAACUGAGUGAUGGGCUUUCAGUCAGUUUCACACUCUUUUUUGCAAGCUGCAAAUACUGACUUAUUUUCAAGUACUCUUUGGGGUUCUGAUGAUUUCAGUAGAGUGGAGAACACCGUUACUGUUACUGUCUACAUUUUCCUGAAGUGGACAUUGCAUAACAUUCUAUCACACACAUGCAAAAAUAAAUAAAUAAAUAAAACAAUGACGACGACAACAACAACAAAAAACUACCACCACCACCACCACCAACAACAACAACAAAAAACACACUUGGAGAUUUGCAGAAGAGGAACUUUUCAAAAGAGAACAGGAUCUUGUAAUGGCAACCUGAAAGCAACUGAAACCGGAAACAUCACGUUUUCCAGUUCUUUGUCUGUAUGCCAAGUAUGCAGCUUAUCUGAUUCACAGUAUGACUGUCCACAUUUAGUCCUGAACAGGCAUCCUCUGUAGUUCAAAAAAUUAAACGUCUGGGCUUUCCAAAAGGCAAAGUACAGAAGGGACAUGUCUGACAAAAGGACUGGAUUUCACUGGGAACUGAUCAAAGUUUUUUGCAGAAGAUUUCUACCAGUGCUAUCAAGAAGCAAUUUUAUUUUUCUUGUUUAGAUAGUGUUUUUGUGCAGCAUGUGCUUCUUUCCCACUCCUGCAGUAGAAGCUAGAGAAUGUUUAUCAACUGCAUAUUUGUUUCUUGCUCUCUGGGUGUUACUUACAUAUGAUGGCUUUUGCCUCUUUGUGUAUAUGUAUGAGCAUACUCAUGAAUGAAUGAAGCAGCACGGUUUGCAAUUAUAUUUCAUAGUGAGGAAGAAAUGUGAAUGUCAUCCAUCCCCUUAAUGCUAGGUUUACUUAAGGUGUACUUAAAGUUCAUAUAUAAAGGUUUACUUAAGUUCAUAUAGCUUUUUCUCUUUGUCACACUUCUUCCUAAGUACACCCAGAGAGAAAAUUCUGUUUGUACAAUACUAUGAGAUCUUGAACUACAACACAAAAAUGGCUUACAGGAAAAAUGCAUUAGAUUCUUCAUAGUGUCUCUGGGGCAGCAGCUACACUGGCAGUAGGCGCUGAUCAGAGAGCAGACUUGGGAUCACACUAAGCAGUAGUGUGUGGCAGAAACAGUCAAAUCCUGCCCAGAGUCCAUGGACUAGCAUGUAUGAACUUGGACCUGAGUGUAGGUUUGGGUCUGUAUCUGCAGUGCAGUGUAGAUGUAUCCAGAACAAGCCAUGUUUGUAAAAAACCCAACUAACAAGGAAUAUGCAAAUCUUGCGUAAAGCAAAACAAGAAAACUUUAUUCAAUGCAGAAUUAACUUUUUGUAUGGUAAUGACAAGUCAUUAGCUUCUCUUCAUAGAUAACAGUAGUUUGCCCUGGGGGUUCUCUGUAUACCUCUGCAACUUCACUGAUGAUAUCAGUCGGGUGACUUGGAGACAGUGUAGACGGGUGGUGUCAGGUAUUCUGUUUUGGGGAAUGGUGGUCUAUGCUCAGGUGGGAAGUAAGUCAAAUUCUGUCAUUGUAAAUCUUCCACUAAACUUAUGUUUAAAUUGGAGUCUCUGUUUUACAACUUAGUGAGCUCUGUUAAAAUAAUAAGAGGGAAAAGUACAGAUAUCUGCAACAAUUGAUUGGUGAUUUAAAGUCAUCUGUAACAGAAGUAACUGAUACCUAUUAAUUAAAAGCCUCCCUGUUGAAAGACAACCGAGAGUAAUUUCCAUCUCGAAUUCAUAGAGAUUCUGCCGUUCCCUGUGAGUUCUCACCAAUUCUUGUUACAAAUAUUUAUCAACAUUUUGACAGUAAAUUAGAAAACAAAAUUGAAUAGGCUUGAACCUCCUUGCAGUUCCUGCUGCAAUUUACACAGUAUGUGCUCUCCUGUCAGGGCAGCACGUCUGAAGCUGUGUGCUGCCUCACAAGCUGGAGCGAUAUCCUACUCCUGGCACGCCAUCUAGUUUCCUCUGCAGUUAUGACUAGAAAUCUAUCUGGAAUAGAUCCACCCCCUUGGGGAGCUUGAUCUCCCUCUGGUAUUCAACAAAAACUGGGAAUCUCCAGAAUCCCAGCUCUGUGCAAAAGUGGAGCAGCCUGCAGCAAGCCACUAAGCUGCCCUGGCUGCCCUGCAGCCCAGAUGUAUUUGAGACGACAGCUGUGAGGAGCUAAAGCCCCGAUCCCUGGUCCAGGCUCAGUGUGUGCUGUGAGCACACUCCUGAACACUGGUUCCCUUGUUCCUCCUUGUCUUUGAGUCAGGAGACUAAAGCUUGGGACUAUAGUGUCUGGCACUAUUUUAAACAUGACUAACAUAUGGAUAGCAUUUUUCUGUUGCUAUAUAUAUAUAUAUAUAUAUAUAGUUUUCUUGUAUUUUUUGGUGUAGCCUCAAUUAGUUAUAGUUUCCUACAAUCUUUUGUUGCCUCAUUGGACACUUACACAUUUUGUCUCUUUUUACUGUUUCAGUUUACAGCCAAAAUAGAUGAACAGCCUAUGCUGGCUUUCCUCCUUCUGAGCUUUCUGUUUCUUCUCUUAGGACACAUCUAAAAAUGAAUAAUCCAUUUGUUUUUGAAAGUGCUAACAUUAUCUCCUUAUAGAGCGGAGGAAUAGUGGAAGAAUAUUCUGGUGUUAAAAGCUUAGAAUGCAAUAAGAUUUCAUAGUGCAUUAUAUAAAGUACUGAAUACUUUUAUGAAGGUAACAGCAUUCACUCAUUACUGAGACAGGCUGGUUUUGAACUGCUGACCUGCAAGAUAAAAAGAAGAUGGGAUCAUUCUCCAGAGAUACCUAAUGUACUGUCUAGUUUUUAAUGUAAAAAAAAUCAUUGAUCCUUGGAAGAAGAUCCUGCAUGCGUAAUUGUUUUGGGAGAUUUAUUUUGUUUUGGUUAUUAAUUUAUUUUGGAGUGGAGGGGACUAGAGUCAAGUGAGACUAAUUGCGGUGAAUAAGAUCGAAGUCAUAAUAAGAAUGUUCAUAAUAACUGGAUUUUACUGAUACUAUGGAGCUUCUGAUGGGUCAGUUUUCUCUGACUGGCAUUAUAUUGCUCUAUUGAGUAUUACUUGAAAUGAAGCUAUGAUGCAGUAUAAAAGACAUUUUUUAAGUAAGUACUUUAUUGAAUAGGUAGUCCAAAAGCAGUUGCGUAGAGCUUACAGUCAAAUCAGAGGUGAAGGCUAGAAUAAGAAAGGAGCUGUGUGUGUUUUUAUAGGGGCCUUUUAUUCCUAGAUCUGACUGCAAUUUCUAUAUUGAUUACUUACACAGUGAGCUCCAAUAAAGAAACAGAAAUGGCAGGGAGUUUCAAAGAAGCAACAGAUACUUCACAGUCAUGGAGAGGAGCUAGUACCAUCAUGAAGAAACAAAAUAAUUGUUGCUGAACAAAGUGUUUUCAGCAAAAGGUGAAAAAAAGAAGAUGGAUUUUCAGCUGUCAGUAAAUAACGUCUGUCAUACCCUUUCAUUUUUUUUCAUCCUUGAAACAUGGACAUCGUAAGGAGUAUCUUUCUUUUUGAUAGUAAGCUGUAAGAUGAUAAAAAUCGAUCAUAUGACUAGAAAAAGAAGUGUAAAUGUUCUAACAUGGCUUGUGUGAUCUUUUUGCUGUUGUUUCUGACAGUGUUUAGAUCAAUUAAAGUUUUACAAGCAUUAUUCAUCAUCUGUCAUACCAGUAAGUUGGACUGUGACUUUGUUUCAUGUCCUUAGAUACCUGAGCGGAUAUUGAAUAGUGUCUGAUGGCAAAGAGUUCUUUCUGUCGCAGUCAACAGAGAAUGAAGAGAUGGCCUUGGAAGUGAUUCCUUUGCUCCAUGGUUGCAGUGUUUUACCCCCUUCCCUUCAUGGUGUGCUUGUGCAGGCACUUCAGAAUAUAUUGAUUUCCCUAAAGAAGAAUGUGAAGCAAAUCUGCUUUUGUGUCUUUCACAGUACUGAAAGUACAUAACCAGGUACAUCUUUAUUUCCUAUGUUGAGUUGGCAGCCAGCCUGGGUGAAGGGAUGUUUCUGGGGCAGUCCAUGAAGACGUGCAGGUGCUGGCCGGAGAGAAACCUGCAUGGUGAGCAGCACAGCCUCCACACCAGCAGAUAGUGCUGCCAUUUGUGUGCUAAACUCUGCUCCAAUCGUUACAUUGGAGUUUUAUCUGAUGACCAUUUUAUUUAAUGCUUCAGAGGAAAAGCCAGGAAAAGGCCCUUGUGAAAUGAAAUUCCUGUAAUGUUACUGCUGGCCAUGGAAAUCCGGUAAGCAAACAGGGACCAUAGGUGGUAGGGUGGCCUGGCUGGCUGGGCUGGCAAAGGGCAUCUCCUGGGCACGGAUACCUUGCAGAUGGGAUUUGGCACCAGGGCUCUUCCUGCACCUUAUGGCAGUGUCUGAUUGGCUGAUCGUUAACUUGGCUCCUAGACAGACAGUGGAACUGUCCUCUGGCUAUUCCACAUGGUAUAAAUGUCAUAGGAUUGGCUCCCUCAGGAAGCGAGCUUGUUCCUAGCAGUACUAAAGGAAACUCCAACACACUGGAGCACUUGCAUGGGUUACAGUGGAGUCUGGCCUGGGGAGCUGAGCACAUCACUCCGUCAGAACUAAAGGAUGAUGUGCAGAACUGGCACCCUGUGGCAUUGGUGUGUUUCCAAGAUAAGGUGCCAGCUAAAUGGUACUUUCAGGCUGAGUAGCUAAUACCUUUCUAACAUUUAAGUACAGGGCCUCUCACUUCCUUGGAUCAUACCACGUUCACAUUAGCUAACAUUUGAUUGUUAUGUAUCUCCUAAGGGUUUUGUGUUCUCUGAAGGACUCUAUAAUAAUGUAUUAAAAAAAAAAAUAGUCUUUGAUUGCCUCAAGACAGGCAAACACCUUGUUGUUGACAUUGUGAAUCUCUUCAAAAACCACAGCAUGUUUUAAAUAGUUUUAAAGUGUCCAUUUUUGUUCUCAUUCAGAGACAGCUAGAUUUAGUAUCACUCCAGGAUGUUAUUAUUUUAUCUAAGGAGAAAACAAUAAAGGACUAACAUGAUAGUUUUUAUUCCUUUCAUUAAGAUUUUGUUCUCUGAAGUAGAGCAAUAAAUUCUUACUCCUGACAUACAAUUGUCUGAAAUAUAAUAAUCUUACCUAUAAUUUUAUUGUUUUAACAAUUCUUGGAGUAAAAAUAUACCUGUAUAUACAAUUUUGCACACCCACAACUCUUAAGCUUCUGUAGGAGCUGCAUAUGUUGUAUAAGUCAGCAUUUUCUCUGUAUUUUUAUGCGUGCAGUUUGUCAUCAGUUUAUACCCCUUUAAGGCUUGGCAAUUAUUUCAACAGCAGUCUCUUCCAGUUUCAGUUUUCCUUUCAAAAAACACUUUUCCUUCCUGAGGCUUGUUAGUAGAAGACAGAAAGGUCUAGAGGCAAAAGUGUUAUAAACCAAAACAGAUGGCAUUUCAGUUUCGGAGGAUAUAGUUCAGUUUGAACUUAACGUUAAUUGUCUUGUAACCCAGUGCAUUUCAUAUGCUAUGUUGAAAAUCAGCCAGACGCUUCCAGGAGGAAGGAUUUUCAUGCCAUUUAGGAAGGUAUCAGUAAAGUAAUGUACAAAUAACAGAAUAGUUGGGGAGGCUGAUCAGGACUAAUAUCAGGACUUUGGGCUAGCUGUUGCUUUUGAAGACAUCCAGUCUUUUCCAAUUACUGUAUUUAAAUACUUCAAAAGAUUUAAGGAGUUUUCCUCCAAGAAGGUAACAAGGCCAGCUGAAGUGUUACUACGCCAAUGCACACAGCUUGGGAAACAAACAGAAGGAGCUGGAAGGCACUGUGCUACUGGAAAUCUAUGAUGUAGUUGCCAGCACCAACACCUUGUGGUUUUACCACAGCUGGAACGUGGCUGUUGACAGCUACAAGCUGUUCAGAAGGGACAGGUGAAAAAGGAGGGAAGGAGGUGUUUCCAUCUACAUCAAGGAAGGAAUAGAGUGUAAAGAGCUAUCCCUGAAGAAUGGCCAUGAGCAAGUCAGAAGGCUAUGGGUGAGAGUUAGAGGCAAGAAGUGGAGCCUUUUGAUUGGUGUCUGCUACUGAUCAUCUGAUCAAGCAGAGCUGUUGAUGAAGCCUUCUUCCACCAGGUACAGGAUCUUUAAGGAAGCUUUCCUUAGGGCACAUGAGCUCUCCAUUCUCAGGUGGAGGAAAUCAGGAAAGGAAGGUAAAAGACUGGCAUGGCUGAACCAAGACCUGCUGGUCAAACUGUAGAACAAAAAAAAAAAAAAAAAAAAAAAGAGCACAGGCAGUGGAAGCAUGGACAGGUAACCUGGAAGUAGUAUGGGGAUGCUGCUAGGCUGGGUAGGGGUGGGGUCAGGAAGGCCAAGGCCCCACUGCAACUGGACUUGUCAAGGUGUGCAAAGAAAGAAAAGAAAGGCUUCAGUAGGUACAUCAACCAGAAAAGGAAAGCCCAGAAGGGCGUACCCCCCCACGUAAGCAAUACAAGCAGUCUUAUAACAACAGGCAAGGAGAAGGCUGAGGUACUCACCAACUUUUUUGCCUCAGUCUUCACGAGUGACUGCUCUACACACAGCUCUCAAGUGAAAGGUUCAGAAGGUGGGAACUGUGGAAGUGAUGCCCCUUCCACUGUAAGCAAAGAUCAGGUUCACAACUGCCCAAGGAACCUGAAAGUCCAUACGUCUAUGGGUCCUGAUGAGGUGCAUCCCAGAGUCCUGAGCGAAUUGGCUGACGUAGUCGCCAAGCCAUUCUCAAUGAUAUUGGAAAAGUGGUCAGGUGAAGUCCCUGGUGACAGGACAACAAAGUCCAUGUCACACACAUUUUUAAGAAGGGUGGAAAGGAUGAUCCAAGAAACUACUGGCCAGUCAGCCUUACCUCUGUGGUGGGGAAGAGCAUGGAGCAGGUCCUGCUGGAAGCUAUCCGAAGGCACGUAGAUGAGAGGGAGGUGAUAUGUGAUAACCAGUGUAGCUUCACCAAGUGCAGGUCUUGACAGACCAACCUUGAUGCUUUUUAUGAUGGUAUAACUGUGUCAGUGGACAAGGGAAGAGCCACUGCUGUCAUCUAUCUGGACAUAACUAAGGCUUUUGAAACUAUCCCCCAUUAUAUCCUUCUCUCCAGAUUGAAAAGACAUAAAGUUGAUGAGUGGACAAAUGAGGAACUGAUUACAGCAUUGUACCCAAAGAGUGGUGGCCAAUGGCUCAAUGUCCAGAUGGAGAUCAGUAUCAAGAGGUGUCCCUUAGGGUUCAGUACCGGGACUGAUGUUCUUCAAAAUCUUUAUCAAUUAUAUCAACAGUGAAAUUGAGAGCACCCUCAGUAAAUGUGUGAAUGACACCAAGAUGUGGGGUACGGUCAACAUACUUGAGGGACAGAGAGACUUAGGCAGACUUGAGCAGUGGGCCCAGCUGAACUGCAUGAAGUUCAACAAAUCCAACUGCAAGGUCUUGCACCUAGGUAGUGGCAACCUCCACUACCAAUACAAGCUGGGGGAUGUAAAGAUAGAACGCAGCUCUGCUGAAAACAGUCUGGAGGUACCGGCGGACGGCAAGCUGGACAUGAGCCAGCAAUGUGCCCUUGCAGCCCAGAAAGCCAACCAUAUCCUGGGCUGCAUCAAAAGAAGUGUGGUAGCAGUUAA